GGUGGUAUUUCACGGCCUCAUCGGGCACGACCUCUAAUAGGUGGUAUUUCACGGCCUCAUCGGGCACGACCUCUAUUAGGUGGUAUUUCACGGCCUCAUCGGGCACGACCUCUAAUAGGUGGUAUUUCACGGCCAACCGCCCCUCAAUUUCCACAUUUAGGAUUUUAUAAAGAAUCCUCAUAAAUCGAAAUCACAUUCAAUUCGCCAUAACCAAUCAUCAAUUUCAAA
rnacentral:lncRNA from 1 species